rnacentral:rRNA from 1 species
UACAGAGGGUGCAAGCGUUGUUCGGAAUUAUUGGGCGUAAAGGGCGCGUAGGCGGUGCGGUAAGUCUGUAGUGAAAUCUCUGGGCUCAACUCAGAGUCUGCUGCAGAAACUGCCGUGCUUGAGUGUGGGAGAGGUGAGUGGAAUUCCCAGUGUAGAGGUGAAAUUCGUAGAUAUUGGGAAGAACACCGGUGGCGAAGGCGGCUCACUGGCUCGUAACUGACGCUCAUGCACGACAGCGUGGGGAUCAAACAGG